rnacentral:misc_RNA from 1 species
CAGAGCGUGUAAAAGCACUCGAAACCAUAGCGAACCUACCAGUGGGAUGUGUCGUUGCCUCGGCGGGCGGCCCCAGGGGGGGCCCGCGGCCCUACGGUGCCCGCCGGAGCUUCAAAAACUCUAGAUAUUUUAGUUACCUUCUGAGGAACAAGCAAAUAAGUUA